CAGAAGAGCGAGCGCAGCGAACAGCAGCACGUACCCGCGCCACAGCCGCCGCAGCCGCCGCAGCCGCCACAGCCGCACCCGCCCCGCGCGCCCAACCGCCGCGGCCCGCCGUCCCCCGCCCCGCCGGCCGGCCCGUCAGAGAGCGGCGAGCGGCCUCCCGCCUGACCCCCAGACGCGGGCGUUCGGCCGGACCCUGAGCCUCGUCCUCUCGCGCUGCGGCCGCCCGCGCGUCCUCGGCCGCCUGUCCGGCAUGAAAACCAAGUUCUGCACCGGGGGCGAGGCGGAGCCCUCGCCGCUCGGGCUGCUGCUGAGCUGCGGCAGCGGCAGCGCUGCCCCGGCGCCCGGCGUGGGACAGCAGCGCGACGCCCCCGGCGACCUCGAGUCCAAGCAGCUGGGCGUCCAGCAGCCGCCGCUCGCGCUGCCCCCGCCGCCGCCGCCGCCGCCGCUGCUGCCGCUGCCCCCGCCCCCUCCGCCGCCGGCCGACGAGCAGCCGGAGCCCCGGACGCGGCGCAGGGCCUAUCUGUGGUGCAAGGAGUUCCUGCCCGGCGCCUGGAGGGGCCUCCGCGAGGACCAGUUCCACAUCAGUGUCAUCAGAGGUGGCCUUAGCAACAUGCUGUUCCAGUGCUCUCUACCUGACACCACAGCCACUGUUGGUGACGAGCCUCGGAAAGUGCUCCUGCGGCUGUACGGAGCGAUUUUGCAGAUGGUAUUUUUGAUAAAGCUGUGGAAUGGAAAGAGGUCCUGUAAUAAAGAGGGAUCCGAACAAGCUCAGAAAGAAAACAAAUUUCAAGGGGCCGAGACCAUGGUUCUGGAGAGCGUUAUGUUUGCCAUUCUCGCAGAGCGGUCGCUGGGGCCGAAACUCUAUGGCAUCUUUCCCCAAGGCCGACUGGAACAGUUCAUCCCGAGCCGGCGAUUAGAUACUGAAGAAUUAAGUUUGCCAGAUAUAUCUGCAGAAAUCGCUGAGAAAAUGGCAACGUUUCAUGGUAUGAAAAUGCCAUUCAAUAAGGAACCCAAAUGGCUUUUUGGCACAAUGGAAAAAUAUCUAAAUGAAGUGCUGAGAAUUCAGUUUACUGGGGAAUCCAGAAUUAAAAAGCUUCACAAAUUCCUCAAUUACAAUCUGCCUUUGGAACUGGAAAACCUGAGAUCAUUGCUUGAAUCUACUCCAUCUCCAGUUGUAUUUUGUCAUAAUGACUGUCAAGAAGGUAAUAUCUUGUUGCUGGAAGGCCGAGAGAAUUCUGAAAAACAGAAACUGAUGCUCAUUGACUUCGAAUACAGCAGCUACAAUUACAGGGGAUUCGAUAUUGGGAAUCAUUUCUGUGAGUGGAUUUAUGAUUAUAGCUAUGAAAAGUACCCUUUUUUCAGAGCAAAUAUCCGGAAAUAUCCCACCAAGAAACAACAGCUCCAUUUUAUUUCCAGUUACUUGGCUGCAUUCCAAAAUGACUUUGACAACCUCAGUACUGAAGAAAAAUCCGUUAUAGAAGAAGAAAUGUUGCUUGAAGUCAAUAGGUUUGCCCUUGCAUCUCAUUUCCUCUGGGGACUUUGGUCCAUUGUACAAGCCAAGAUUUCAUCUAUUGAAUUCGGGUACAUGUACCUGAAUGUGGUAACCUGGUGGCACCAGGACACUGUGGCUGUCAGAGGAAGCUGUGGGAGAAGCCGCUCUCACUAAUGCUGUGGUUGCCUUUGGAGGUUGCCCUCACUUCCAAGACAGCAGACCCCUGCCUCUCCUGCUUCAGAGAAGUGCCAGGUGGUCCAGCAGUCCUGCAGUGGAGAAUGGAGGCAUUUGCACCCUACAGGUCCAGCUCUGACCUCAGCCCUUUCCGACACGGGAUAGUAGGUGAAGAAGAGUGGGUGCUCUUGCCCGUGCUCUGGAGGGUUUUAUUUAGCGGUUACCACUGAAUUCUCCAGCCUGUAGUACCCGAUUUCGAGUUGGAAGCUGGACUAUGCCCAAGCAAGGUUUGAUGCCUAUUUCCACCAGAAGAAGCAGCUCGGGGUGUGACUGUGGGGAGGACUCCAUCCACCUCAUCACUGGACUGCAUGGGAAGGCAGCGGAGCAGGGUCCCCUCUGUGCUUUGACUACUGCUCCUGCGGCAGGAGGCUUUGGGUGGCUCACUACUGAACACAGAUGUGUGUGAUACAUUUAAUUCAUCUGUUUAUGAUUUCACUAGGACUCAAGACUGGGAAGCAGAAAUAUAGUGCAAUAGUGCAACACCUCUGAAUCCUUUUCAUCUAGAGAAGGCGUUUCAUAUUUGGGGACUAAGGUUUCCAGUGAGAUACAGCAGACAGCAUGAGUAAGCAGUGUUGCUUGCAGGUACUGUGGUUAAUGUUGAUUUAAUUUUUUUUCACGAAUGUGCUGGUGAAUACUGUGACCACACUUUUGUAGAUGGCGACGUGUUAGACACUGCUCACUCCCGAGGCGUGGCAAGUGAGCAAAGAGGUACUGUGAAGCCGCCAAUCACUGCUGCAAGGUGGCCUCUGCCUGGUGCCCCCAGAAGCUGCUCCUCUACCCUCUUGGUCCCCUGGCUGAAGCUGGAGCAGCCGAGGCCACCUGCAUGUGGAGUGGGUGUGUUACAUUGCUGAGUGUCAUUGUACCACAUGUGACUUCUCCCCUGCCCUUCCUCCUGAUGGAGUGUGCAGACAGCUGUGCGUGGCCAUGGGGGCGGUGUGAGGACCUCCCUGUCUCCUGCCUCCCCUCCCAGGGGAGCCAGCUGCUUGAGCCAGCCCUUUGGGCCUCUCCUGCCUUCUACUCUGUCUGGAGCUUCGGAUCCUGUGAGUGAGCUGGGCCGCACCUGGGCUCUCUGGGGGCCUGCUUUCCCAGCCCUCACCUUUCCUGAUGUCCCUGACAUAGUCACUCUUGUGGAAGACAGCAGCCUGUAUGUGGUGCAGGGCGUGGAACGAGUGUAGCUGUGAAAACCGUAUGUAUGAAAUGUCCCAUGGGUACAGUCAGAGCUGACUCUUCUUUACUCAGAACUCAUUUGAAUUGUUUUCUGUGCAUAUAUUUCUGCUACCACAGCGAUUGUACUACACAAAUAAAAACCCAACCUCAAGCUGUCA